AGCAAAUCAGGUUCAUUUUUUCCAGGGCAGAAAUAUUGGUAGCCAUAAUCCGUAAGGGAGCAAUAAGGACUGCUAGAUAUCUAACGUCUUCAAGGGAUAUCAAAGUGGGACAAAAUCUCAAUUAUCUUGGAGAGUAUAAAAAUCCUUCAUCAUUAGCUUUGUGUCCAGCAACUAAGAACUGCAUAUCAACAUAUAAGAAUAUCACUCAUGCCAUUCAUUAUGCUUCUCCUUGGCUCAUCUUCAUGAGUGGAAAGCUGUAUGGAAUGCAAAGAUAAUAUCUUGAUCCCAUCGUUAUUAGAAGUACCAAAAUGAAAUUGAGGACUAACAAGUAGAUUAUGGAUUGUUACUAUUCCGUAAUGAAAUUUUCUGCUAACAAUUACGUCUUGGUGAUUCUAUUUUUUGAAAAGCUUUCAAGCUUAAUGGGUCAUCAAAAUUUCUCUGUUUAGUGUUUGUACACUCUUCAUUUUAAGAGUAUUACUAAGUUACUUAAAGAUCAGAUUAGGAAUUUGGUCCCUCAAAAAUACACUUGACAUGAGCUUUAAAAGAUUUGUGGUAUUUUCACUCUCAAUUGACAAUUUUAAAGUCUUCUUUAGAUUAAUAUUUUGGAUUUUCUUCUUCUUA